CGCCGUGCGCGUGCUAUAAUGCAGUCGAACGCACUAGUUUACUAGUGAGUGGCGAACGGGUGAGUAACACGUAGGUAAUCUGCCCUUAAGACGAGGAUAACCGUUGGAAACGAUGGCUAAGACUGGAUAGGAACAUUAAAGGCAUCUUUGAUGUUUUAAAAGACCUAGUAAUAGGUAUGCUUAAGGAGGAACCUGCGGCGCAUUAGUUAGUUGGUAGUGUAAUGGACUACCAAGACGAUGAUGCGUAGCCGGACUGAGAGGUUGAACGGCCACAUUGGGACUGAGACACGGCCCAAACUCCUACGGGAGGCAGCAGUAGGGAAUUUUCGGCAAUGGGGGAAACCCUGACCGAGCAACGCCGCGUGAAUGACGAAGUACUUCGGUAUGUAAAGUUCUUUUAUCAAGGAAGAAUGACUUAUGGAAAAAUAAGUGUGACGGUACUUGAUGAAUAAGCCCCGGCUAACUAUGUGCCAGCAGCCGCGGUAAUACAUAGGGGGCAAGCGUUAUCCGGAAUUAUUGGGCGUAAAGGGUGCGUAGGUGGCCUGUUAAGUCUGAGGUGUAAGUGCAGUGCUUAACGCUGUGAUGCUUUAGAAACUGGCAGGCUUGAGUGUGGUAGAGGUAAGUAGAAUUCCAUGUGUAGCGGUAAAAUGCGUAAAUAUAUGGAGGAAUACCAGUGGCGAAGGCGGCUUACUGGGCCACAACUGACACUGAGGCACGAAAGCGUGGGGAGCAAACAGGAUUAGAUACCCUGGUAGUCCACGCCGUAAACGAUGAGUACUAAGUGUUGGAGAAAUUCAGUGCUGUAGUUAACGCAAUAAGUACUCCGCCUGAGUAGUACGUGCGCAAGCAUGAAACUCAAAGGAAUUGACGGGACCCCGCACAAGCGGUGGAUCAUGUUGUUUAAUUCGAUGAUACGCGAAAAACCUUACCAGGUCUUGACAUACCAUGCAAAGCUAUAGAGAUAUAGUGGAGGUAUCAUGGAUACAGGUGGUGCAUGGUUGUCGUCAGCUCGUGUCGUGAGAUGUUGGGUUAAGUCCCGCAACGAGCGCACCCUUAUUGCUAGUUCCCUCAUUAAGUGGGGAA
rnacentral:rRNA from 1 species